UAUAUAUAUAUAUAUAUAUAGAGUGAGGCUACUAUACUAUCGAAAGCACGGAGCCUUCCGUGCUUCCAGCUCGUUUUCGAUGUUGCGACUUUCGAAUCGUCGAUCGGCUCCGUUAAACUUGAUCUAGAGUAUUUGAAGUACCUAGAAAAUAAAUUUUAUGAUUUUAUGAUAUCAUUUGCCUAGUGAACGAAGGGGCUCAAAAUCAACGGCUAAAAAUAAAAAUCUUACAAAAUGUAAUAAUAUGACAUUAAAAUUUUAAAUCAAAGAUAUUGAUC
rnacentral:lncRNA from 1 species